rnacentral:rRNA from 1 species
CACGUAGGGCGCAAGCGUUGUCCGGAAUUAUUGGGCGUAAAGGGCUCGUAGGCGGUUUGUCGCGUCGGGGAGUGAAAACACACAGCUUAACUGUGUGCUUGCUUCCGAUACGGGCAGACUAGAGGUAUGCAGGGGAGAACGGAAUUCCUGGUGUAGCGGUGAAAUGCGCAGAUAUCAGGAGGAACACCGGUGGCGAAGGCGGUUCUCUGGGCAUUACCUGACGCUGAGGAGCGAAAGUGUGGGGAGCGAACAGG